rnacentral:rRNA from 1 species
UACGAAGGGGGCUAGCGUUGCUCGGAAUCACUGGGCGUAAAGGGUGCGUAGGCGGGUCUUUAAGUCAGGGGUGAAAUCCCCGGGCUCAACCCGGGAACUGCGUCCGAUACUGGCAGGCUUGAAUCCGGGAGAGGGAUGUGGAAUUCCAGGUGUAGCGGUGAAAUGCGUAGAUAUCUGGAGGAACACCGGUGGCGAAGGCGGCAUCCUGGACCGGUAUUGACGCUGAUGCGCGAAAGCCAGGGGAGCAAACGGG